UACGUAGGUGGCAAGCGUUGUCCGGAAUUAUUGGGCGUAAAGCGCGCGCAGGCGGUCCUUUAAGUCUGAUGUGAAAGCCCACGGCUCAACCGUGGAGGGUCAUUGGAAACUGGGGGGCUUGAGUGCAGGAGAGAAAAGUGGAAUUCCACGUGUAGCGGUGAAAUGCGUAGAGAUGUGGAGGAACACCAGUGGCGAAGGCGACUUUUUGGCCUGUAACUGACGCUGAGGCGCGAAAGCGUGGGGAGCAAACAGG
rnacentral:rRNA from 1 species